rnacentral:rRNA from 1 species
UUGUCUUUGUGCGAGCUUCUGCAGGUCCCUUUCAGCCUUGAAGAUCUAGAUUACAAGGGGCUUGAGCUGGAUGUGAUGUCUCCAUGUGAGAAGCACGGCAUGGCAUCUGAGAGGCUUGUUGCCUUUGAAGGAACAGACACAGGCAGACGGUUUUUAGCAUGUGCACAGCCGGCAGGUAGCAAUUGUGGCUUUGUUGAAUGGGUUGAUCACCAGUGGCCCCCAACAAUGCAGAAUGCAUUGUUGAAGCUAUGGGCAAUGGUUUAAGAUGCCAAAACUGCUAGGGUGAAUGACAAUCUUGAAAGUUCUUUCACUAUCCACCAUCUGACAGAAGAGAAGACCAAGCUGGAUGCCAACUAUGACAAGCUAGUUCAAGAUGUGCAUGAGCUGAUGAACUUCCAGGAAGAUAAGGUGGUGGAUUUCAGACAUCUGCAGUCUGCCAUUACAUAUCAGCAGGAGGUAAGAAAAGAUCUGAUUGAUGAUAUGAAGGCACAGAUGGCAAGUGAGAUGGCAAAGAAAGAUGAAGAGACCCAGAAACUUACUCUCAAGUAUGAGCUGCUGCUCAACCUGACAAGAGCUCAAGCAACAGUCAUUCAGAACUUGAAGCUGAACAAAAUGAAAGAGAAGCAAGUGCUUACUGAAGCUAGUAUGAAUUUGGAGCUGAAGAAUGCAGAGCUAACAAAGUGUCAGGAGAAGCUCACCCAAGAGAAGCUAGAGUUGAAGCUUCAGGUUGCUGAUCUGCUUAAGGGAAAUGAAAAGCAUAUUGAAGAGAAGUGGCAGUUAGAGUUUCAGAAUGAAAAGUUGAAGGAGAAGUUCAGGGGGAUUCAGGCCAUCUUGGAGAAGUGA